rnacentral:rRNA from 1 species
GAUGAACGCUGGCGGCGUGCCUAAUACAUGCAAGUCGAGCGAACAGACGAGGAGCUUGCUCCUCUGACGUUAGCGGCGGACGGGUGAGUAACAUGUGGAUAACCUACCUAUAAGACUGGGAUAACUUCGGGAAACCGGAGCUAAUACCGGAUAAUAUAUUGAACCGCAUGGUUCAAUAGUGAAAGACGGUUUUGCUGUCACUUAUAGAUGGUUCCGCGCCGCAUUAGCUAGUUGGUAAGGUAACGGCUUACCAAGGCCACGAUGCGUAGCCGACCUGAGAGGGUGAUCGGCCACACUGGAACUGAGACACGGUCCAGACUCCUACGGGAGGCAGCAGUAGGGAAUCUUCCGCAAUGGGCGAAAGCCUGACGGAGCAACGCCGCGUGUGUGAUGAAGGUCUUCGGAUCGUAAAGCUCUGUUAUUAGGGAGGAACAAAUGUGUAAGUAACUAUGCACGUCUUGACGGUACCUAAUCAGAAAGCCACGGCUAACUACGUG